rnacentral:rRNA from 1 species
GAUGAACGCUGGCGGCGUGCCUAAUACAUGCCAGUCGAGCGAACAGACGAGGAGCUUGCUCCUCUGACGUUAGCGGCGGACGGGUGAGUAACACGUGGAUAACCUACCUAUCAGACUGGGAUAACUUCGGGAAACCGGAGCUAAUACCGGAUAAUAUAUUGAACCGCAUGGUUCGAUAGAGAAAGACGGUUUUGCUGUCACUUAUAGAUGGAUCCGCGCCGCAUUAGCUAGUUGGUAAGGUAACGGCUUACCAAGGCAACGAUGCGUAGCCGACCUGAGAGGGUGAUAGGCCACACUGGAACUGAGACACGGUCCAGACUCCUACGGGAGGCAGCAGUAGGGAAUCUGCCGCAAUGGGCGAAAGCCUGACGGAGCAACGCCGCGUGAGUGAUGAAGGUCUUCGGAUCGUAAAACUCUGUUAUUAGGGAAGAACAAAUGUGUAAGUAACUAUGCACGUCUUGACGGUACCUAAUCAGAAAGCCACGGCUAACUACGUG